rnacentral:rRNA from 1 species
UACGUAGGGUGCAAGCGUUGUCCGGAAUUAUUGGGCGUAAAGAGCUCGUAGGCGGUCUGUUGCGUCGGCUGUGAAAACCCGGGGCUCAACUCCGGGCCUGCAGCCGAUACGGGCAGACUAGAGUUCGGCAGGGGAGACUGGAAUUCCUGGUGUAGCGGUGAAAUGCGUAGAUAUCGAGAGGAACACCUGCGGCGAAGGCGGGUUGCUGGGCUGACACUGACGCUGAUGCGCGAAGCCAGGGGAGCGAACGGG